CCUACGGGUGGCAGCAGUGAGGAAUAUUGGUCAAUGGACGCAAGUCUGAACCAGCCAUGCCGCGUGCAGGAAGACGGCUCUAUGAGUUGUAAACUGCUUUUGUACGAGGGUAAACGCAGAUACGUGUAUCUGUCUGAAAGUAUCGUACGAAUAAGGAUCGGCUAACUCCGUGCCAGCAGCCGCGGUAAUACAUAGGUGGCAAGCGUUGUCCGGAAUGACUGGGCGGAAAGGGAGCGUAGGCGGUCUGUUAAGUUGGAAGUGAAAUCCCGGGGCUCAACCCCGGAACUGCUUUCAAGACUGACGGACUUGAGUGUAAGAGGGGUAAGCGGAAUUCCUAGUGUAGCGGUGGAAUGCGUAGAUAUUAGGAGGAACACCAGUGGCGAAGGCGGCUUACUGGAUUAUAACUGACGCUGAGGCUCGAAAGCGUGGGUAGCAAACAGGAUUAGAUACCCGAGUAGUC
rnacentral:rRNA from 1 species